UCGCGGUAAUACGUAAAAGACGAGUGUUAUUCAUCUUUAAUCGGUUUAAAGGGUACCUAGACGGAAAAUCAAGCUUAAUUAAACUAAGGACUAGUUUUCUAGAGUUUGACAUGAGAAGGUACGAACUAUCAGAGGAGAGAUAAAAUUUGUUGAUACUGGUGGGACGGACAACGGCGAAGGCAAUCUUCUACUAAAAACUGACGUUGAGGGACGAAGCCUUGGGGAGCGAGAAGGAUUAGAUACCCUAGUAGUCCUUGGAGAAAAUUAUGAGUGCCAUAGACUAAAGUGAAAAAGAAGUUCUUUUAAAAGAACUUUGUAUCUGAGCCUUAAUUGGAUACAAAGGUCUCGAGUAGCAGUUUAUAAAUGAAAGUGUAAGCAUUCCACCUCAUGACUAAAGCGGCAACGCCCAAAUUGAAAUCAUUAGACCGUUUCUGAAACCAGUAGUGAAGUAUGUUAUUUAAUUCGAUAACCCGCGAAUAACCUUACCACGUUUUGAAUUUAUUAAACAAGUGUUGCACGGCUGUCUUCAGUUAAUGUCGUGAGAUUUUGGUUUGUUCCAUUAAUUAACGAAAACCCUUGUUUCAUUUUUAUAUGAAAUAGUUCACCGUUAUAUUGGAAAGAUAAAAGGGAUCAAGACAAGUCAUCAUGGCCUUAAUAAC
rnacentral:rRNA from 1 species